rnacentral:lncRNA from 1 species
AUGAUCCGUUCAGAAGGGGCAACAAUAUAUGGGUUCAGGUUAAAAGUGUGCUUGCUCCUUGUGAGUAUGUUAAUGUGAGUUUGGGAGGUGACUCAAUGCAGCAAGAUCAUGAUACUGAAGCUGAUAGUGAGGUAGAGUACCCAAUAUAUAUAUUGUGUUAAUAUAUGACUGACCCAGUACAUGGAUCCAAGGGUCAAAAGUUCUGAUUCAAGUGCCCAAUACAUGACUGAUCCAUCUAUUAUAGUCAUAAUUUCUCUUUUUGAAGUCUAUUUGCAAUCUAUAAAUUAUUAUAAUUUUGUUAUAUAAAAUAAUCAUUAUACAACUGUUUUUGGUAACAAAGGGUUAUGUGGUGUACCUUCUUUACCCGACUGGCCCUUUUCAGUGGCCUAUCACAUGCUGGUAAAAUUGCAGUCGGGAUAUCACGUGGUGUUGUGUUUUUAUCGGUGCUCAAAAUAAUAUUUAUCUAUAAAAGAAGACAACGUAGCGAUUAGAACUUUGCUCUUCCGCACAAGUUAGUGUCUUAAGUUGAAUUUCUAUGACUCUCAUGGUCUCUGUCUGUAUUUGAGAAAUGGUCUCUUUUGACAUGUAACUUUUUCAACUGUUGUUGCAAAGAAAAAAUAAUAUUAGACACGGAAGUCGUUAAUGGCUCUUGAAAUGGCGAGCCAACAAGUCACAAAGUUAGAGUUCAACAAUUUAAUGAUACAAUAUUAAUAUGUAUGUUUUUAUGUUAUUGUGGUGUAUUCCAAUCGAUAUUGUUAGGCUGGCUAGAGCUAAAGAUUUACUAAUUUUGGUUAUCAAAACAACAACUGAACAAGAGGUUAAGUGGUAGAUGGGUGUUCGUGUUAAAUGGUCUAAGUCACACAAUAGGUAUGUUUUGCUAUAAAGUUUGGCCACACAAUUUAUAUAUUUUUAGUCUAUAUUAUAAUGUUUUAAUGCAGAGGUUUGUUUAUCUUUCAGAUUCAUACGUUUAUUAUACCUUCUUAUCUGUUCCGCUAAUCGGUAAUUCUGUUUGAACCCCUAAAACAUAUGAUUUUGUUGAAGAUUGCGCUUUGUUUUUCAAUCAGUUAUGAACAAUGACGGUACUUGUGGUUUCGAUUGGGCUUUUGUCCGUGAUUUCGAUGCUUGGUGUUUGUAGAGGGUCAUCUACUUCACGAAUAUUUGAAGGCAUGCUGACGCACAACAAUAGCACCGACAUUUUUUUCAUUCAAAACAGGUACAAUUAAAUUUUCAUAAUGCUCUAUUGACUAUAAAUGAGAUGAUUUUUCAUUCAUGCUUCUUGGGUACAUAGCACAAGAGUUGGCUCAUUUCCAAUUAAGGGUAUGGCACUAUUUAACCCAUAUGAAUCAUGUGGUCUUGGUAUAGUAAAUUAAUAAAAGUAUUUAUUUUAUGGGUUUUGAUUUCCUGCAGAAUACGACAUAUAUUUGGCAUACUCGUGCAUAUUUGCUUGCUGACUCAUCAUGUAUGAAAGAGAUAAACUAAUGAUGCAUAACAAUAGCACCAUUAAACAUCUUUUCAUUCAAAAUAGGUACGGUAUUCAUAAUGUUCUAUCGACCAUCUGAGAUAAUUUUUCAUCUAUGUUUAUUUGGUAGGAGAGUAUACGGAAUUGAUAGUGUUAUAUUGCUAUAUAUAUAAAUUCAGCAUGAUAUUAAAAUUACCGAUAUCCCACCACGAUAAUAGAUAUCUAAAAUAUCGGUGUCCUUGACCGAUUUUGAUUUUUACCGCAUUAACUACUUAGAAUGCAAGAUGAGGCAUUGCUUAUAAAUUGAGUUAGCAAGUUGGGUGGGUCAAGUUUGGUAACAUGUUAAACGGGCUAGGUUGUUCAAACAACUUUGAUCUUACAAUUAUAACUUCACUUAAUGAAGAACUCGAGUUUUUUUUUACUAAAAUUAAUCAAAAGGUCUCAUGCUUUGAAAAUACAUUAUAGAUGAAUUUUUUAGUAGAAUGAAUCAAAAGGUCUCAUAUUUGUUGGGUUCGAUGUAACUACAUAUGUGGUUUACGGUUUUCAAAGGAAUCACUUAAAAAAACUGCCGUUUUGGUUUCUUUCUAGAACCUUUUUCUUACCAAAUUUGGAACUUGAUUGUGUUGAUUUCAUCAAAUUGGAGAUCAAAUGAAAUUCACAUGAAUAAAAGUUUUGGUGGAAACUUUGACAAAGAUUUGGUGGAUUUUGGUGGCAUGGUAGAUCUGGGGAGAUUAAGGGGUAAAAUGGUUAAUGUUGAUAAAGAAUUCUCAUACAAGUUUAAAGGAAAUUUUGGCUUCAUAUCCUAGGUUUAAAAAUUUAUUUCCUCUAACUGAUACCUUAUUCCAACAUUUAUUUUGAAAGCACAAUCUUAAGUGGUCGGGUACUCAUAUAGUAGUCUAAGGGACGUAAGUCAUAGAAUCUUAAAAUAAGAAAGGUAGAUGGCAAAAUUGCAUUCACCGAUGGCUCGAAAAAGACCGGUUGAAUAUAUAGGAUAGCUUAUUGGAAGCCCCUUUGUGUUUCAACCUGUUUAUAUAUAAGUACCGGAACAGUCGGGGUAAUGGGUCAUAACAGGUAACGGGUCAAAAUGGACUUUUUUUAAAAGUGAAAAGGGAUGUUUGUAAAUACCUUCUACUUGAAAUAACUUUAGUGAUAUUAUGAUGUAACAUCAGUUCUUGAAUUCGCAGUGGAAAAGAUAUUCGUUCUAAUUAUAUUGGAUUGUAAACAGAUAUUAUGAUGUAAUAUAUUUGACCCAAUAAAGCUCUGUUUGUAAGUGCCAUUUACUUGAAAUAUCUAUGGUGAUUAUUUAUGUAUGAAUCGAAUUUUAACGGUCUGAAAAGCUUUCUUACAUGUGUUAAUCUUCUGUUCAAUAUAGUUUAUCUUGCCGAAUUUUAGGACAUAUGAAUACUAAAGCCAUUAGAGAAAAUGGGUCUUUGGUUUUCAUAAAACAAGUUAGCAAGGCGCUCAAGUUGUGAGUUAAUUUUUAUACUACAUACUUUAUUGUGCCUAGGAGCAUGCGAUUCAGAUUCUAAAUGUGCCACAUUUGCGUGAUCCCAAAAACGACAUGAACUUGAGAAUCGUGUCAUAAGCGUGAACCCGAUCAGGACAAGAGUAUUCAUGGGUUGACACGUAUGCGGCCUGUUUAACCGGUAAUCUAUACAUAUUAAAACAUUUAAAUUCUAUUUACAUACUUUAUUAAUUUUUUGAAGCAAUUAUGUUUAAACUAUGCCAUAUCAUUUUUAAUAGAAUACAUCUUAUGAAACUAAAAAACAAAUACAUGGGUUAAACAGGUCGACUCACAAACUUACUUUCUUGAUAAGGACACCACCUGUUUAGCUAAAGAUGUAUAGUUUUGAGUAUCGGUGACAAUACAUACGUGAGGUUGGGUUUAAAUGAAGUUUUUAAUGGCAUAAUCCAGUCUUCUUAAUUAGGUACAAACAUUUGUUCCUUUGAUUAGUUGUGAGAUUGCUUCCAAUUUUUAUGCUUAUUCUCUGUUUGGUGAACUUAAAUGGUUUGUAAAACUGUUAAUCAGGGUUUUUCUAUAUAAUCAAAGAAUUUGAAGCAACUUAUGGUGUUUGUGCUUUUAUUUGAUAUGUUGUGUAAGCUUUAUUGAUCAUGUUAUUGCUAAUUAAAGAUGCUGAAUGGAAGUAUAUGUUUUAAUAGGAUUACAAAGCAUGAUAUUUUGGUUUAUUUUAUAUCAUUAUUGUUAUUAUUUUGUCUGCAUGCUAUUUGAUAUCAAGAUUUGGUGAUCUGCAAAAAAUUGUUGAAUUCUCAGUUUCACAAGUUCAACGAAUUAGCUUGGGGAUCAAUUUGCAUUGAGACGAAAUGAUGAGCCAUCAUAAUCCCAAUGUCAUUUUUUUAUUCUUCCAUUUCAUUUUAUUUUGUUUCAGACCAUUAACAACAAUUUAAAAUGGUAAUUUUUUUAGUAAUAGUGAUAUUAUCCUUGCUUGCAGAUGUGUUUUGUGUUGGCAUCACAUAAUAAACAUGGCUUAAAAGGGUACAAUAGAAGGACAAUCUCAUGCAUGUGGGACGCCUUGUGAUAAGUAUAACAUUGUAGGGUUUGUAAGCAAAUUUUCAAAGGUUAAUAUACGCAAUGAUAUUGGUAAUUUCUAUUGUUAUUUUUAGUUUAUAAAUCUGUAAUACAAACUUUUUGUAUACAAUGUGCUUGGCGAUAGCUAAAGACGGAAGAGAAUAAUAUUAAAGGGAAAGUCAACCACAUGAAGAAAGGAAAGAUAUAAGCUUUGUUCGAGAAUUUAGUGAAAAUGGUAUAGAUGAAGAUGUUUACAGUUUAAAAUUUGGUUUUUUAGCAAAUAAUGAAUAGAUAUGUAAGUGUAAUCCUUUUAGCUAUUUAAUAUCUCUUACUACUGUUGCAUGAUCUCAUAUUUUUUUACUCAAUAGUUUAUAAUUGUAACUUAGUUUCAAUUUUCUAACAUUUUCAUGUACUCUCUAAUAUUUUCGUUAAUAUUUCAAUGUAUAUAAAUUAUAAUUUUUUACUUCACAAUUUUAAAGGAUUUAGUUUAAUGCUGCUUUUUGACUAACCAUUCUAUAACAGUAAAAGGGAUUUAUAGCAAAUCAAGUGUUGGAGGGUAGCCAACCAGUUGAUAUCUCUAAGAACCCGUUUGAGUUGUUCUUACACUUAAGUAAGAAUCUAUUUUUUUCAAAUUAAUUUCAUGUAUAUUUUUAAUAAUCUAGCAAUAGAGCUUUAAAUUCUAAGUCGUCCUGAUUGGAAUUGAUAAUGUCAGAGGAUGAAUGCGAUAGUGGAGUUAAAGAAUACAUCAUGAAGGUUUAGUUGACAAAAACUUAAUUUGUAACGGACAUUAUGUAGAUGUACUAUUGUGACGUGUUCAAAUGUCUCAAAAUAUUAGGUUUAACAAAUCACACUUUAACGCUUCUACGUUUAAAUUAUUUUAUGUGUUUAGUUGGUGUUUAGCCACCCGCGAAGCUCGCGGGGUCUUAGGCUAGUUCUUAAAAU